rnacentral:rRNA from 1 species
UACGUAGGGGGCUAGCGUUGUCCGGAAUCAUUGGGCGUAAAGCGCGUGUAGGCGGUCCGGUAAGUCCGCUGUGAAAGUCGGGGGCUCAACCCUCGAAUGCCGGUGGAUACUGUCGGGCUAGAGUGCGGAAGAGGCGAGUGGAAUUCCUGGUGUAGCGGUGAAAUGCGCAGAUAUCAGGAGGAACACCGAUGGCGAAGGCAGCUCGCUGGGACGGUACUGACGCUGAGGCGCGAAAGCGUGGGGAGCGAACAGG